rnacentral:rRNA from 1 species
GACGAACGCUGGCGGCGUGCUUAACACAUGCAAGUCGAACGGUGACGAGGAGCUUGCUCCUCUGAUCAGUGGCGAACGGGUGAGUAACACGUGAGCAACCUGCCCCAGACUCUGGGAUAACAGUUGGAAACAGCUGCUAAUACCGGAUACGAGACGGAGAGGCAUCUCUACCGUCUGGAAAGUUUUUCGGCUGGGAUGGACUCGCGGCCUAUCAGCUAGUUGGUGAGGUAAUGGCUCACCAAGGCGACGACGGGUAGCCGGCCUGAGAGGGCGACCGGCCACACUGGGACUGAGACACGGCCCAGACUCCUACGGGAGGCAGCAGUGGGGAAUAUUGCACAAUGGGCGAAAGCCUGAUGCAGCGACGCCGCGUGAGGGAUGACGGCCUUCGGUUGUAAACGUCUUCUAGCAGGAGAAGCGAAAGUAGACGGUACCUGCAGAAGAAGACACCGGCUAACUACGUGCCAGCAGCCGCGG